CCUACGGGAGGCAGCAGUGGGGAAUAUUGCACAAUGGGGGAAACCCUGAUGCAGCGACGCCGCGUGAGUGAAGAAGUAUUUCGGUAUGUAAAGCUCUAUCAGCAGGGAAGAAAUUGACGGUACCUGACUAAGAAGCCCCGGCUAACUACGUGCCAGCAGCCGCGGUAAUACGUAGGGGGCAAGCGUUAUCCGGAUUUACUGGGUGUAAAGGGAGCGUAGGUGGUUCGGUAAGUCAGAUGUGAAAGCCCGGGGCUCAACCCCGGGAUUGCAUUUGAAACUAUCGGACUAGAGUGCAGGAGAGGUAAGUGGAAUUCCUAGUGUAGCGGUGAAAUGCGUAGAUAUUAGGAGGAACACCAGUGGCGAAGGCGGCUUACUGGACUGUAACUGACACUGAGGCUCGAAAGCGUGGGGAGCAAACAGGAUUAGAUACCCUGGUAGUCCACGCGGUAAACGAUGAAUACUAGGUGUCGGGGGCCAAAAGACCUCCGGUGCCGCAGCUAACGCAAUAAGUAUUCCACCUGGGGAGUACGUUCGCAAGAAUGAAACUCAAAGGAAUUGACGG
rnacentral:rRNA from 1 species